rnacentral:rRNA from 1 species
UACGAAGGGGGCUAGCGUUGCUCGGAAUGACUGGGCGUAAAGGGCGCGUAGGCGGAUUGUACAGUCGGGCGUGAAAUUCCUGGGCUCAACCUGGGGACUGCGUUCGAUACGUAUGAUCUAGAGUUCGGAAGAGGGUCGUGGAAUUCCCAGUGUAGAGGUGAAAUUCGUAGAUAUUGGGAAGAACACCGGUGGCGAAGGCGGCGACCUGGUCCGAUACUGACGCUGAGGCGCGAAAGCGUGGGGGAGCAAACAGGAUUAGAUACCCCUGGUAGUCCACGCUGUAAACGAUGUGUGCUGGAUGUUGGGUGGCUUAGCCACUCAGUGUCGUAGCUAACGCGAUAAGCACACCGCCUGGGGAGUACGGCCGCAAGGUUGAAACUC